rnacentral:lncRNA from 1 species
GGAUUGAUGAUGGUAGCAGUGUGGUGGUGCUUUGUGCAGACACACCUGGAAAGGCAUCUGGAAAGAAAGCUGUUUUCGUGGCUCCCACUGCAUGGGGCUGCCUCUCCGCAGGCUCAGAGAAGUGAGCCCCCAGGACCAGCACAGCCUGGGGUGAGGAGCAGGCUUGCAGGGACUGAGGUGGAAGGAGUGUUUCUGGGCAGGAGCCGGUCUGCAGUGAGGGCGCCUGUGCCCGUAGGGCUGGGGACCUGCCCCUCCUCCAGCAGCAGGGGGCCUGAUCAGGUGACUGUGUUUCCUCAGGAUGGCCUGGCCACCCCAGGACCUGCCCUGGCGUUCCGCCCGCCUCUCCACGUCUUAGUCUGGCGCUUGGCUGUGGAUGCUUCCCUGGAUCCUCUCUGUGCUCCGCCUCUGCUUCCCGAGUUCAGGUGGCUUCAGGCCCCUCCCAGCCUCUAGCCCAGACCACCCCCUGUUUCUGUCUCACCCUGAACACUGCCAAGCUGGGUCCCUCCCCCACCCCCGCUCCACAACGUGCUCUGGAGGGAGCUGGUGGCAUGGCUGUCACUUGUCCCUGUCUAAUCUCAAGUCCCACUUGUUCUUCCCGCUAGUUCCCAGAGCUGCCUCUGCCUGCUUCCCCCGGGGCCCUCGCUGCUGUUCCAGGGUGUGGUGGCCCCUGUCUUGGCUGCCUGCCCACAGUCCCCCAUCUAGUCCGCCCUUCAGGCUUCCCAGCUGGGUUGCACUCCCUGCCGGAAGCCCUGUGUCACUCCCAGGACCCCCAGGAUAAGCCACACCCCCUCGUGGGGCUGGGCCUCCACUGCUGUCAUCACAUCUCCAUUCCUCCUGUUGGCACUUUUCUUCUCAUGGACCAAGUCCCUCAGGGCCCCAGGUGGCCCCUCUCCUGUGUCUCCAGGUUCCUGCAGGCCCCGUCCCCCACCUGGACGGGUCUGCCCUCUUCCUUUGCCUGAGCAGCCUCUCUCCAUCCUUCAGGCGUCAGCCUGCGGGCUCCUCUGGCGGGGUGGACACUCUGACGUCCCACUGUCAGAGCCUGUCGCAGCUCUUGUUGCCUAAUUACAGGGCCCGGGGCAGGCUCUCCGUGUGUUGGUGGGAUGCGAGAAUGAAUGAGGAUGUGAAGGAGUGAAAGAAUGGUUGGCAUGGCCAGGGACCUGCGGGCCCCCUGUGGCAGAGCUGGAAUUUCCGCCCUCAGCAAGUGGCUGCCGUGUCCCCCGCUGGACCAGCCUUGUGUUUGGAGCCAGGGCACAGUGGCCAACAAGCCAAGCAGGCCCUGCCCGCCUGGUGGAAGGCGGUCCACGACUCCUAGCGCAGGGCUCUUUCCAGCACGCCACGGGGCACCCAGGGCUGGUCCGGGACGUCUGGUCCCCUGCAAAGUGAAGUGGGAGCCAGGGCCCGGCAGCCCCAGGUGCUCUCGGGCACACCCCGAGGCCCCGCGUCACCUCAUCCUUCUCACCACUUGCUUUCUAGCGGCCGCGGCAAGAAGGAAGACUUCAGAGGCCGGCCAGGAGAGCACCGGACGCAGGAGAGGGCGCUGCGAGCGCUGGCGCUGGGGCCAGGGAGCUCACGGCCCCUUCCCCGCAGAUCUCGGGCCUGCCGCCAUCACAGGGGUGGCACGGAGGUCGGAGGAAUGCUGGCCCUGCGCGGGAAGCCAGGCUCGCUGUUAAGCAACAGCACCAGACCUCUUUGUUUCUCCGCUUCUUCCAAAGUGGCAAAAGAUCAAGGCCCCGGCUUGAAACAACAAAAGGGAAAUAGCUUGCAGGCGCGCAUCUGGAGGCCAGAAGAGGUUUUAAUGGCCCUGCUUGGGAGGGAGCUGGGGAGGGGCCUGAGCACGGAUCCCACACCCUUCUCCACAUGCUCAGGACUCGGCUGGGCAUCCCACCCGCCGCUCAGGCGGCACCCACCUGGCGCAGCGCCUCCUUUGUGACCUGGCGGGUGGCGACUUGCACGUCCGCUGCCCCCGCGCCCGCCAGCUCCUCCCUGCAGGGUCUUGGCCUGGGAGCCUUGCAUUUCUCUGUCUCUGACGCCCACGUCAAACCUCCCCAGGUCCAGCUCGGGGCUGGCUGAGGCCCGGGUUAAUGAGGGUCGGGGUUAAUUAGGGUCGAGAGUGGCGUCGUGGCGGGCCGGCCGGGCUGAGACGGCGGUCGUCAGGCCAGGCUGAAGAAAGGCCGCUCAGAGCCCCGCAGACGUUUCUCGCGGCGGAUGAGAUGGGCCUUCUCCUGGGGGACGUCACCCCACGGCCCGAGUCAGCGGGAAGGGGGUGCAGGGGUGUCUUCCCUCAGAAAAGGAGGCCCUCUCUCCCUCUCUCUCUCUCCUGACCCUAACGACGCUUCCGGAAGCCUCGGCAGGGAUGUUUGCACAGCGCAUGGUUCUCUGGGCUGAAGUUUUCCCCAGAAAAGCCCUGAGAAGGGAGCCCGCGGGUCCUGGAAGCGGGGAGGUGGGGCGGGCCUCCUGCUUCCUGCUCGGUGCACCGACGGUCCCCAGACAGCACCUGCUCACGCGGCGGCCGCGGCGCACACCACGCACACGGGCCACUCACCGAGCUUCCUUCCUCCACGUGUUGGGCACGGCCCACUGGAGCCACAUCUGUGCCCCACCCAGUGGUGUCCAGAGAAGCUGAUGUCGGGAGAUGCUUGGCGAGCUGUAGAAGGUCCCGGAGCUCGUCAGAGCCAGAGCUGAAUUUCGAAUCCAAACCUUCCUGACAACCAGCGCUUGGGCUUUCCAGAAUUCCCUGUCUCCUGAGAUGGCAAGCAAACGAAUGACCUGACCUGGUCCAAGUUCUGACUCAGGAAGCAUACUUCCCUGCAAUGCAGUUUGGGUCUCAUCACCUCCCACCUCAAACGCUGGCAGUAGCUCCCCUUUCUUGGCGGCCCUUUUGGAUGGCUGCAGUGAUGGAUGACCCAGGCCACCGAGGCUGCUCGGGGGCCCAGCCCUCGGUGGGAAGCCGACGUGGCAGAGGGAGGCAGAUGGAUGGGGCGCCCGUGUCCUCUGGCUCUGGGUGGGCGGGCGAAGCCAGGUUCCCGGGCUGUGCUGACAGGGCCUCAGGCCACUGCCCAGACUUUGAUUGGUUGGGUGCAAAUGAUCAAGGCAUCCUGUCCUGGACACCCCAGCUGGCACUGGGUGCUGCAGCUGGUGGGAGGGGGAGGAGGCAACACCCCAAACCAAACCCCAUCAACACCACGACCCAAGGCUGCCUGGGCAGGGUCGACCCUGGGUUCGGCAGAGCCAAGGGCCCUCCAGGUGGGCCUGAGCUGGAACGGGGGUGACCAGCCUUCCCAGCAGGACUCUCCCAGGAACCCAGUGCAUGGUGGGAUUUCCGGGUCAGUCUCGAGUUAGGAACCAGAAUAGCACCUUCCAGGACGUGACACAUGCAAAAAAGGCAGAGGCGUGGCCUGGGCAGGAGGAACUGGUGUGCUCGCACUGCGAAGACUGGAAGUAUGGGAGUUCCCUGGUGGCCUCGCUGUUAAGGACCUGGCAUUGUCACUGCUGUGGCAUGGGUUCCAGCCUGGGCCUGGGAACUUCUGCAUGCUGCUGGUGCAGCCGAAGGAAAAAAAAAA